CGCACUGGUCAUGCUUCUUCCCUCUCUCUCUCUGCUCUUCUCCGCCUCUUUGUCUUCCCUCUCUUUGCCUCUUCUCUGAGUCUUUCUCUUCCCUCUCUCUACCUCUUUCUCUUCUCUUCAUUUCCGACGUUGCCUCAAUUCUCAGUAAACGGAGUUGGUUGGUACCACACAUACAAACGACGCAUCCUUCUGUUUCUUUCGGCUUCGAUUUCUCUCUCCUCUUCCUCCUCAACUUGAUCCCAAUUCCACUAGGGAUUCAAUUCUGAUGCGAUUCCAAGCUUGUUAGAUCCACGACAAGGUUUCAUUUCCCAGAUUUUUUUGUAAAAAAAAUUCUUCCUCUGUCUCAACUUUCUUACGCAUUUGGAGGAAGCAAAAAAGUGUUGGUAGUUGAAAUUGACGCUCACAAGAACAAGACUUUGCCUUAAAAUAAAGAAUCAAACGCUUCCUGGAUUGGGUUCUCGGAAAAUUAGGAUCUGUUGCUUCAGUGCUUCACUAUUUUUUUUGUCUUGAGGAGCACUUGGUGCAACUUUUCUUGUUCUACACAAGAUUGAAAACAAGAGGUCCUCUGCUUCUUAUCAAUGUCUUUUGAGGGCUACGAAUAUAAAGAAAGCUCGGGGAUCUUAUUUUUCGGAGGAGGUAACUAAUAAGGCUUUGUGUCCCAUUCCUUGGUCUUCCAUUUUCGGGGAUCUUAUAUUUCGGGGAUCUUAUCAAUAAAAUAAAUAGAUCCUCCAUUUCUCCACUGCCAAUUGUUUACUCUUCCACACUACAUGAUAGUUCAAAUGGCAAAAGGAAGAUAGAAGAGAAGAACCUGGGAUUUUUGGUGUGUAUUGGGAGGGGCAAGGACUCAGAAAGCAUUAAUCUGGUUCACACGCUACUGCACCUGAAUAUUGGAAGCUAAUGGUCCGAAAAAUCCAAGGAAUUUGUUUCAGAAAUACGAGUGAAUAUGAGGUACCACUUGAUUUCCCAAUGCAUUUGAAGAGCUUCGCCAAGAAUUAGCCAAGGUUUAUAGUCUCCAAGUUUGGCUGCCAAGUGCAAUGCACUGUUUCCCUUGUUAUCCACUUUUUCGAAUAUAUUACUUUUCUUUAGAUUUUUCUUGUUGAGCAAGAAGUUAUAUAAGUAAGUUUGUCUGUUCUCUACUGUCAAUAGCACUAUAUUUUUUUUUCUUGGCAUCCAUAUCAUGAACAGCUACUAGAAACGAGUCAAUGAUUUUCUCUACCAUUUCUGUCACACCGUUCUUUGCAGCUAUUAAUAUCGGUGUCUCCAACACCUUCUUCUUUUUGGUGUUA